UACAGAGGUCCCAAGCGUUGUUCGGAUUCAUUGGGCGUAAAGGGUGCGUAGGCGGCGCGGUAAGUCGGGUGUGAAAUCUCGGAGCUUAACUCCGAAACUGCAUUCGAUACUGCCGUGCUUGAGGACUGGAGAGGAGACUGGAAUUUACGGUGUAGCGGUGAAAUGCGUAGAUAUCGUAAGGAAGACCAGUGGCGAAGGCGGGUCUCUGGACAGUUCCUGACGCUGAGGCGCGAAGGCGUGGGGAGCGAACGGG
rnacentral:rRNA from 1 species